UCGAACGGAGUUGAAAGGAGCUUGCUUUUUUCACUCAGUGGCGGACGGGUGAGUAACGCGUGAGUAACCUGCCUUUCAGAGGGGGAUAACGUUCUGAAAAGAACGCUAAUACCGCAUAAGAUUGUAGCUUCGCAUGGAGCAGCAAUCAAAGGAGCAAUCCGCUGAAAGAUGGACUCGCGUCCGAUUAGAUAGUUGGCGGGGUAACGGCCCACCAAGUCGACGAUCGGUAGCCGGACUGAGAGGUUGAUCGGCCACAUUGGGACUGAGACACGGCCCAGACUCCUACGGGAGGCAGCAGUGAGGGAUAUUGGGCAAUGGGGGAAACCCUGACCCAGCAACGCCGCGUGAGGGAUGACGGUUUUCGGAUUGUAAACCUCUGUCCUCUGUGAAGAUAGUGACGGUAGCAGAGGAGGAAGCUCCGGCUAACUACGUGCCAGCAGCCGCGGUAAUACGUAGGGAGCAAGCGUUGUCCGGAUUUACUGGGUGUAAAGGGUGCGUAGGCGGAUUGGCAAGUCAGAAGUGAAAUCCAUGGGCUUAACCCAUGAACUGCUUUUGAAACUGUUAGUCUUGAGUGAAGUAGAGGUAGGCGGAAUUCCCGGUGUAGCGGUGAAAUGCGUAGAGAUCGGGAGGAACACCAGUGGCGAAGGCGGCCUACUGGGCUUUAACUGACGCUGAGGCACGAAAGUGUGGGUAGCAAACAGGAUUAGAUACCCUGGUAGUCCACACUGUAAACGAUGAUUACUAGGUGUGGGGGGUCUAA
rnacentral:rRNA from 1 species